UGGCUGGCUCACAGAGCUUGGGUCAGCCUUAUUGAAUGUGGCAAGCAUUUAAUGAGCUCUGGCUGAAUGAGGUUGAUGCUGUUAUCCACUUGUAUAGGCAAGGCGUGUUGUUUCUGCUCUGUGAGUUCCUGGAGUCUCUGAUGUCUGCUAGAUGGUUGUCUGGGUGUGGAUGCUGCUGCUUUCAUGGACUGUGAAGUCAUUGUGACCCCACAAUGAAAUAAUACCGCUGCCUGAAAGGAGGAGUGUAAACACACAGGUGGAAAGACAGACAGAGCAGGAGGAAGGCCAGAUGGAUGGGAAGAAUACGAGAGCUGAAGGUUUCUGACAGUCACCAGAGCAAGCGAGAAAACCACACUCAAUUUUGGCAUCAGCUCUUUGGCUCCGAUCAUUUCUCCAGUUCACCAGACCCGCUCCAAGGCGGGGAACGUGCUGCAAAUGUCAUGAAUGAAUCACAGCGGGGAGAUCAGCCUUUGCUCGCAGACAGCUCCGGGCUCUCGUUGUCCUUAGCUCACUCUAUGGUGUUAGCUAUGCAAACGCACCCUGCUUUUUUUAAACAGAUAAAA